rnacentral:SRP_RNA from 1 species
GCCAGGCUUGGUGGCAUGUGUUUGUAGUCCCAGCUACUUGGGAGGCUGAGGUGGGAGGAUCGCUUGAGCCCAGGAGUUCUGGGCUGUAGUGUGCUAUGCUGAUCAGGUGUCCACACUAAGUUCGGCAUCAAUAUAUUGACCUCACGGGAGCGGGGGACCACCAGGUUGCCUAAGGAGGGGUGAACCGGCCCAGAUCAGAAACAGAGCAGGUUAAAACUCCUGUGCUAGGCCAGGUGCGGUGGCUCAAGCCUGUAAUCCCAGCACUUUGGGAGGCCGAGGCGGGUGGAUCAUGAGGUCAAGAAAUCGAGACCAUCCUGCUCAACGUGGUGAAACCCCGUCUCU